rnacentral:ncRNA from 1 species
AAAAAUGAAGAUAGCGGCUUCAAAUUUGGCAGAAACAUUGGAAGUUGUUGCACGCAGGCCAGAAUCAUAAAGCAAGUUUUCUCUGUGUGAGGCAGAUUGGGGUGGGUGGCCAUUCUUAGUUCGUGGAGUGGUUCGUCUAGUUAAUUUUGGUAACGAGCGAGUCUCAAAUAUAUUAAAUCGAUGCUUUCUGUAUUGUGGUGUUGAGUUUUUCGUUGAUUUCAUUCAUUCAUCAAUGAAAGUUCGAAUGUGGUUAUAAAAAUGGAGCAUCAUCAGUUCUUAAAUAGAGUAAUUGUGUGUAGCAAAAAAUGGGAUUGAGCAAUAACAGGUCUGUGAUGUCCUUAGAUGUCCUGGGACAAUCACGUGCUACAAUGAAAGUGUCAAUGUAUAUUUCCUAGGCCGAAAGGUUCGGGCAAACCGCUAAAGCACUUUCGAUUGAAACUGUUUACUGCUCAAUAUUGGAAUAGCUAAUAAGUGUGAAUCAUUAACUCGCAUUGACCACGUC